AGAGACAGCAGCAGCCACGGUAACACGUAGGUGGCAAGCGUUGUCCGGAAUUAUUGGGCGUAAAGGGCUCGCAGGCGGUUUCUUAAGUCUGAUGUGAAAGCCCCCGGCUCAACUGGGGAGGGUCAUUGGAAACUGGGAAACUUGAGUGCAGAAGAGGAGAGUGGAAUUCCACGUGUAGCGGUGAAAUGCGUAGAGAUGUGGAGGAACACCAGUGGCGAAGGCGACUCUCUGGUCUGUAACUGACGCUGAGGAGCGAAAGCGUGGGGAGCGAACAGGAUUAGAUACCCGUGUAGUCCCUGUCUCUUAUAA
rnacentral:rRNA from 1 species